AACUAACUUUGUUCGUCCAGGAUGAGAACCGUUAAGGUCCGAGCCGAGCAGCUUUGCUGCGAGACAACGUUGGCGCGCGCUCGUCACGACAACGACCCGAAGGGCGAGCGAAGCGAGUAAUCCGCACGACAUACCA
rfam:Oleiphilus sp. HI0009 HI0009_c20, whole genome shotgun sequence.